rnacentral:rRNA from 1 species
GAUGAACGCUGGCGGCGUGCUUAACACAUGCAAGUCGAACGAAGCACUUUAUUUGAUUUCCUUCGGGACUGAUUAUUUUGUGACUGAGUGGCGGACGGGUGAGUAACGCGUGGGUAACCUGCCUUGUACAGGGGGAUAACAGUUGGAAACGGCUGCUAAUACCGCAUAAGCGCACGGCAUCGCAUGAUGCAGUGUGAAAAACUCCGGUGGUAUAAGAUGGACCCGCGUUGGAUUAGCUAGUUGGUGGGGUAACGGCCCACCAAGGCGACGAUCCGUAGCCGACCUGAGAGGGUGACCGGCCACAUUGGGACUGAGACACGGCCCAAACUCCUACGGGAGGCAGCAGUGGGGAAUAUUGCACAAUGGGCGAAAGCCUGAUGCAGCGACGCCGCGUGAGCGAAGAAGUAUUUCGGUAUGUAAAGCUCUAUCAGCAGGGAAGAUAAUGACGGUACCUGACUAAGAAGCACCGGCUAAAU